AGGGAUACUGACAAUGCGUAGACCGGUACUUACUAUGUCUGCUUCAAUUGGAAGGAUGGAAAGUCUCAUCCCAUUCGUGUUGUGACACUAAGACAAGUACGUAGGUGCUCAUUAGGGGAAUGAGUUCACUGAACACAAUCGAACGAGAGUACUUGCAUGGAGGUCUACUCACAUGUCAAGCAAGUAACUCUAAUGGUUGGAAAGAUGUAAGUAAUCCUUAGACCUGAGGCAUCAUCGUUGUCUUGUGGUUAAGUACUUAAUCUUUGAUUAUGUCAAUGUCUCCCCAUUCGAGGGUGUCCAUGGCAUAAUUGGGGUUAAGCCACUUAGUCAUGAAGGCAAGUGUAUGCGCAACAAGGAAUCUCUAAUCCUCGAUAAGAGAGGAAGAAUACUCUAAGAUAUGAUUCGGGAAUCUUCGGCCGAAGUAUCGAGCGUAUUGAUUGGAAAGCGUUCCUAUACGACUCAAAUGAAUCAUAUAUGAAGGAACAAUCACAUUAGGGGUUUGACAUGAUAUAUCCAUACCCUAAUGAUGUGAUUGAGAGUAUUGUAUUGGAGAAGGAUUGAAUUACAUUGUAAUUCCAACUGACUAGGUUCU
rnacentral:lncRNA from 1 species